GGAGAGGCGGGGGGGUGAUGGAUGGGAGGAGCCGGGAUUCCGCUAACCUGAUUAACCAGGUUAGAAACCAACCUUGCAAAAAAUCCAAGGCGUCUCACUGCAACCUCGUCCCGCCCUCCCAGGGCACGGCUGGUCCUGAGUGGGAACCCCCCCAACCCAGCCUUGCCUCCCUCCUGCGUCCGAGAGCAGCCGGGUGCGGUGGGGAGGUGGGAUGCGACGGCGGGCAUCGUGCCUCUGGCUCCCGGGACCGGCACCAGCGGCGAGGAGGGGCGGUGGGGCUGGAGAGCUGGGUCCCGCUAAGAGGAUGAAAACAUGGGGCUCAAGUUAUCCUGCCUGAAAGGCUUGAAGACGUGUGUGAGCAGCGAGAACGGCAACGGCGGGACCCCGUCCGCGUCCUCGGGCGAGAAGCACCUGCACGUGCCCUCCAUCAUCGUCACGCCGCCCACGCCCACGGGGACCACGCUCUCCCGGGACUCCCGGCGGGUGGGGGGGUCGCCACCGUGCAGCCAGUGCUGAGCGCGGGGACAGGGGGACUCCAGCCCAGCAGGAUCCGUCCCCGCUCCAGCGGGAUGAAGACGCAGCCGCCGGGAUGCGAAUCGGCCGGACCCAGCACCCCGGGAGCUCCCCCCGGGCUGUGUCAGGGGAGCGGUGGGUGCGUUGUGCCCCCUGAAAACACCCCGAAGUCGACCCGGUGCCAGAUGGGGGUCCACAAGCGGGGCGCACCCCGCCAGCCCCCACCUCUCCGCCCGGAUUGAAGAAACCAACCGGUUGCAAACGGCACCGGUAAAAUGAACUCGGCGUCACCUGCAACCCGCCCUCGCGGCCCCACCGGAUCGGCCGCAUCCCGGGGAGGGAGCCGGGGGCGAUGUUUCCCGGGGAGCGGCGGCACUGUGAGCCGUCGGGAGAGGCGGGAGUGUGAAAGCAGAUGGAAAUUUAAUUUUUUAAUGACAGCAGCA